rnacentral:rRNA from 1 species
GGGCGUGCUAUACAUGCAGUCGAGCGAACAGACGAGGAGCUUGCUCCUCUGACGUUAGCGGCGGACGGGUGAGUAACACGUGGAUAACCUACCUAUAAGACUGGGAUAACUUCGGGAAACCGGAGCUAAUACCGGAUAAUAUAUUGAACCGCAUGGUUCAAUAGUGAAAGACGGUUUUGCUGUCACUUAUAGAUGGAUCCGCGCCGCAUUAGCUAGUUGGUAAGGUAACGGCUUACCAAGGCAACGAUGCGUAGCCGACCUGAGAGGGUGAUCGGCCACACUGGAACUGAGACACGGUCCAGACUCCUACGGGAGGCAGCAGUAGGGAAUCUUCCGCAAUGGGCGAAAGCCUGACGGAGCAACGCCGCGUGAGUGAUGAAGGUCUUCGGAUCGUAAAACUCUGUUAUUAGGGAAGAACAAAUGUGUAAGUAACUAUGCACGUCUUGACGGUACCUAAUCAGAAAGCCACGGCUAACUACGUGCCACGCCGGGGAAAAUA